UACGUAGGUGGCAAGCGUUGUCCGGAAUCAUUGGGCGUAAAGCGCGCGCAGCCGGCCUCUUAAGUCUGAUGCGAAAGCCCCCGGCUCAACCGGGGAGGGCCAUUGGAAACUGGGAGGCUUGAGUAUAGGAGAGAAGAGUGGAAUUCGACGUGUAGCGGUGAAAUGCGUAGAGAUGUGGAGGAACACGAGUGGCGAGGGCGACUCUUUGGCCUAUAACUGACGCUGAGGCGCCAAAUCGUGGGGAGCAAACAGG
rnacentral:misc_RNA from 1 species